GCACUGGGGGCGGGGUUGGCCUGCGCAGCUGUCUGUGACCCGGCCGGGAGCAGAAGAACACACCGGGCCCCGAAAAUGCGCCAGGCUCAAGCGGGAAGAUGUCACUAUGGCUCCAGCUCAAGACCUGGUGUCUGUCAGACUGUUGGGACUUUGGGCUGUUCAGUGCCAUGCAUUCUUUACAAUGUGUCCUCCAAGUGCAAAGGUCUCUAAAAUGGGGGCCGUUGGUCACUGUGUCCUCGUUGCUGCUGAGGACCUGCAGGGCACAUAGCAGCCUUCCCAGCACUGCAAAUCCCAGUAGAGAGAGGCAGGAGAAUGGAAUUCAGGAUUUCAGCUCCAGGCUAGCCACUGGACCAACUUUUCAGCAUUUUUUAAGAAGUGCUUCAGCUCCUCAAGAAAAGCCAUCUUCUCCAGAAGCAGAGGAUCCGCCUCCCUAUCUGACAGAGGAAGAACUUCUAGGAAGACAGAGAAAAGUCUACCUCGAGACCUACGGCUGCCAGAUGAAUGUGAAUGACACAGAGAUAGCCUGGUCCAUCUUGCAGAAGAGUGGCUACCUUCGGACCAACAACGUCCAAGAGGCAGAUGUGAUUCUUCUUGUUACAUGUUCUAUCAGGGAGAAGGCUGAGCAGACCAUCUGGAAUCGUUUACAUCAGCUGAAAACCCUAAAGACAAAGAGGCUUCGCUCUCGGACGCCUUUGAGGAUUGGGAUUCUAGGCUGCAUGGCUGAGAGACUGAAGGAGGAGAUUCUGAACAGGGAGAAACUGGUGGACCUCUUGGCUGGUCCGGAUGCCUAUCGGGAUCUUCCUCGGUUGCUGGCUAUUGCUGAGUCAGGACAACAAGCUGCCAAUGUGCUGCUCUCCCUUGAUGAGACCUAUGCUGAUGUCUUGCCAGUCCAGACGAGCCCCAGUGCCACUUCUGCCUUCGUGUCAAUCAUGAGGGGAUGCAACAACAUGUGCAGCUACUGUAUUGUUCCUUUCACACGUGGCCGGGAGAGGAGUCGGCCUGUUGCCUCCAUUCUAGAGGAAGUGAGGAAGCUUUCUGACCAGGGGCUAAAAGAGGUGACACUUCUUGGUCAGAAUGUUAAUAGUUUUCGAGACAAUUCAGAGGUUCAAUUCAACAAUGCUGUAUCUACUAAGCUCAGUCGUGGUUUCACCACCAACUAUAAAACCAAACAAGGAGGGCUUCGUUUUUCUCACCUUCUAGAUCAGGUUUCUCGAAUAGAUCCUGAAAUGAGGAUCCGGUUUACCUCUCCCCAUCCCAAGGAUUUUCCUGAUGAGGUUCUGCAGCUGAUUCACGAGAGAGACAACAUCUGUAAGCAGAUCCACCUACCAGCCCAGAGUGGAAGCAGCCGUGUAUUGGAGGCCAUGCGAAGGGGGUAUUCAAGAGAAGCUUAUGUGGAGUUAGUUCACCAUAUCAGAGAGUCUAUUCCAGGGGUGUGCCUCAGCAGCGACUUCAUUGCUGGCUUCUGUGGAGAGACAGAGGAAGAUCACCUGCAAACAGUGUCUUUGCUCCGGGAAGUUCAGUACAACACAGGUUUCCUGUUUGCUUACAGCAUGAGAGAAAAGACACGUGCAUAUCAUAGGCUGAAGGAUGAUGUUCCAGAAGAAGUAAAAUUAAGGCGUUUGGAGGAACUUAUCACUGUCUUUCGAGAAGAAGCUUUGAAAGCUAAUAAAACCUCUGUGGAUUGUACCCAGCUGGUACUGGUAGAGGGGCUCAGUAAACGCUCUGUCACUGACUUAUGUGGCCGGAAUGAUGGAAAUCUUAAAGUGAUCUUCCCUGAUGCAGAGAUGGAGGAUGACAUUAACCCUGGGCUUAAGGUCCGAGCCCAGCCUGGGGAUUAUGUGCUGGUAAAGAUCACCUCUGCCAGCUCUCAGACACUCAAAGGACAUGCCCUGUGCAAGACCACUCUGAAGGGCUCCUUAACACAUUGCUGACCUGAGUGACUUAAGUGGUUCUUCUCUAUAGGAAGUAGUCACUUCUCUAUAGGAUGUGGGAAAUCCUUCUCUACAGGAAGGAGACAUGGGCUGGCCAUUAGUGAAAGAGGAUAUUUACAAGGGAUUGCAACAGACAUCAAUGUCUUCUUGUAGAACAUCUUCAUCACUCCAGAAAGGAACCCUGACCUGUUAAUCAUUCCCUAUUUUCUUCUCCCCGACAAUACCCAGAAAAUACUAGUACUGAGUAUACUUUGUAUUUAUGUAAGUUGCUUAUUCUAACCAUUUUAUGUAAAUAAGUCAUAAUAUGUGACUUUUGUGUUUAACCUUUUUCACUUAACCUAUUUCAAGAUUCAUCUACAAUGUGGCAUUUGCCAGUAAUUCGUUUUUUUUUUUUUAUGGCUGUAAAUUUCUGCAUUUAUAUACCAUAUUUGUUUAUUUAUUCCUCUGUAAGUAAACUAUUGAGUUGUGAA